CUGUCUGCCUUUGCUUCACAUUAUCUCUGGCUCUAAAAACUGAAAAAAUGGACCACCACUGCCUGCUUUCCACCUGACAGCGCUGAAGAGUCUUCACAACAGAAGGUCUGCCUCUGCUGUGAUCACUCCACUUCACACAGUGGAGACAAUCAGGACUAUAAAGAAGGCUAAACAUGACAAGAAGCUGAACCCCAUGCAGCCUUCCUAAACUACUCUGUGUAAAAUGGCACUGGACAGAAAUGUUGUGUUGCCUUGCAGCAGUGUUCAAGGACCUGCUUCAUUUUCCUACGUCCACAGCUUUGCAUCCAAUGCUGUGCACAGUUCAGUAAAGCCUAACUACUGUUGACGUUUGGCGAGUGAUCAGGUGAACUGAUGCGGG